UUAUCAGCCUUGUUACAAGACUGUGCUAACAAGUUUGUUACAGCCAUGAUAUAACAAGGAUGUUACAAGGUUGACGACACAAGGUUGUAACAAUCUUGUUAUAUCAAGCAUGUAACAGACUUGUCAGAACAACCUUGCAACAAGUCUGAUAA